rnacentral:rRNA from 1 species
GACGAACGCUGGCGGCGUGCUUAACACAUGCAAGUCGAACGGAAAGGCCCUGCUUUUGUGGGGUGCUCGAGUGGCGAACGGGUGAGUAACACGUGAGUAACCUGCCCUUGACUUUGGGAUAACUUCAGGAAACUGGGGCUAAUACCGGAUAGGAGCCCCUGCUGCAUGGUGGGGGUUGGAAAGUUUCGGCGGUUGGGGAUGGACUCGCGGCUUAUCAGCUUGUUGGUGGGGUAGUGGCUUACCAAGGCUUUGACGGGUAGCCGGCCUGGGAGGGUGACCGGCCACAUUGGGACUGAGAGACGGCCCAGACUCCUACGGGAGGCAGCAGUGGGGAAUAUUGCACAAUGGGCGGAAGCCUGAUGCAGCAACGCCGCGUGCGGGAUGACGGCCUUCGGGUUGUAAACCGCUUUCGCCUGUGACGAAGCGUGAGUGACGGUAAUGGGUAAAGAAGCACCGGCUAACUACGUG